AUUGAACGCUGGCGGCAGGCCUAACACAUGCAAGUCGAGCGAGCGGCGGGCGGGUGUGUAAUGUAUGGGGACUCCCCGAUAGAGGGGGAUAACUCCUGGAAAAGGUAGCUAAUACCGCAUACUAUCGGAUAAUCCAUAUGGGAUUAGCUAUUUGGUGUGGUAAUGGCUCACCAAGGCGACGAUCCCUCGCUGGUCUGAGAGGAUGAUCAGCCACACUGGGACUGAGACACGGCCCAGACUCCUACGGAGGCAGCAGUGGGGAAUAUUGCACAAUGGGCGCAAGCCUGAUGCAGCCAUGCCGCGUGUAUGAAGAAGGCCCUAGGGUUGUAAAGUACUUUCAGUCGGGAGGCGUUACCGACAGAAGAAGCACCGGCUAACUCCGUGCCAGCAGCCGCGGUAAUUC
rnacentral:rRNA from 1 species